rnacentral:rRNA from 1 species
GAGGUUAAUAGGUUCGAGGUGGAAGCAUGGUGACAUGUGGAGCUGACGAAUACUAAUCGAUCGAAGACUUAAUCAAAUU